rnacentral:rRNA from 1 species
UACGUAGGGGGCAAGCGUUGUCCGGAAUUAUUGGGCGUAAAGAGCGUGUAGGCGGUCCGGUAAGUCGGCUGUGAAAGUCCAGGGCUCAACCCUGGGAUGCCGGUCGAUACUGCCGGACUAGAGUUCGGAAGAGGUGAGUGGAAUUCCCAGUGUAGCGGUGAAAUGCGUAGAUAUUGGGAGGAACACCAGUGGCGAAGGCGGCUCACUGGACCGGAACUGACGCUGAGGCGCGAAAGCGUGGGGAGCAAACAGG